GACGAACGCUGGCGGCGUGCCUAAUACAUGCAAGUCGAACGCAGUGGGGACGGGUGAGUAACACGUGGGUAACCUCCCAUCAGAGGGGAUAACACGUGGAAACCGGUGCUAAACCGAUACAGAUGGAUGGACGCGCGGGGCAUUAGUUAGUUGGUGGGGUAACUGCUCACCAAGGCCACGAUGCAUACCCGAUCUGAGAGUGUGAGCGGACACACGGGGACUGCGACACGGCCCAGACGCCUACGGUAGGCAGCCGUGGGGAAUCUUCGGCAAUGGACGAAAGUCUGACCGAGCAACGCCGCGUGCUUGAAGAAGGUUUUCGGGUCGUAAAACUCUGGUGUUAGGGAAGCGUUAUCUGACCAGGAAGCCACGGCUAACUCCGUGCCAGCAGCCGCGGUAAUUC
rnacentral:rRNA from 1 species